AUGGAUGCUGGUUCCAUUUUAAUCAAGCACUUUUGCGUCAAUGGCGGCGAUUAGGAUUAAUAGACGCACCAAGAAGUGUUUUAUCUAUGACUAUGACUAUGGCAUUGAUUCCUUCUGAUUGCUUUGAGAAAGCACUUUCCAUUAUACAACUUGAAAUUAAUCAAACUUCUUCUAAAUAUCCUGCUCUUAAUGAUUUUCUGGCUUAUGUACGUAAGACUUGGUUACCAAUGGCAUCAAAAGUUAGUGUUUAUGAUUGUCCUGCAAGACAAAUAAUAUAACAGAGAGUUUUCAUAAUAUAGUAGGAAAAAAAUUCGACAAAGCUCAUGGAAACGUUUGGAAUUUCUUAGAUAAUCUACGCAAAUUGAUAAUUGAUGAAGAGCUGAAACUAAAACGUCUACAAACAUCUGAAGUAGGUGGGCAUCAUGCAAGUGUUAAAAAUAAAAGGCGAGACAAUAAAAUACUAGAAACUCAAAAAAAUUUUGCGAUUGGCAGGUUAGUUAAUAAGGUAAUUAUUUAGAUUAGCACACCCACCUCCAAU